AUUGAACGCUGGCGGCAGGCUUAACACAUGCAAGUCGAGCGAGCGGCGGACGGGUGAGUAAUGUCUGGGAAACUGCCUGAUGGAGGGGGAUAACUACUGGAAACGGUAGCUAAUACCGCAUACCAUCGGAUGUGCCCAGAUGGGAUUAGCUAGUAGGUGGGGUAACGGCUCACCUAGGCGACGAUCCCUAGCUGGUCUGAGAGGAUGACAAGCCAAACUGGAACUGAGAUACGGUCCAGAAUCCUACGGGAGGCAGCAGUGGGGAAUAUUGCACAAUGGGCGAAAGCCAGAUGCAGCCAUGCCGCGUGUAUGAAGAAGGCCUUCGGGUUGUAAAGUACUUUCAGCGGGGAGGCGUUACUCGCAGAAGAAGCACCGGCUAACUCCGUGCCAGCCGCCGCGGUAAUUC
rnacentral:rRNA from 1 species